AUUGAACGCUGGCGGCAUGCUUUACACAUGCAAGUCGAACGGUAACAGGCCGCAAGGUGCUGACGAGUGGCGCACGGGGGAGUAAUGCAUCGGAACGUGCCCAGGCGUGGGGGGUAACUACUCGAAAGAGUAGCUAAUACCGCAUACGAUCUAUGGGUGAAAGCGGGGGACCGUAAGGCCUCGCGCGAUUUGAGAGGCCGAUGUCAGAUUAGGUAGUUGGUGGGGUAAAGGCUCACCAAGCCAACGAUCUGUAUCUGGUCUGAGAGGACGACCAGCCACACUGGGACUGAGACACGGCCCAGACUCCUACGGGAGGCAGCAGUGGGGAAUUUUGGACAAUGGGCGCAAGCCUGAUCCAGCAAUGCCGCGUGCAGGAAGAAGGCCUUCGGGUUGUAAACUGCUUUUGUACGGAACGAAACGGCUCUGGUUAAUACCCGGGGCUAAUGACGGUACCGUAAGAAUAAGCACCGGCUAACUACGUG
rnacentral:rRNA from 1 species